UACUCCUACGGGAGGCAGCAGUGAGGAAUAUUGGUCAAUGGGCGCAAGCCUGAACCAGCCAUCCCGCGUGCAGGAAGACGGCGCUAUGCGUUGUAAACUGCUUUUCCAGGGGGAGAAACUUCCGUACGUGUACGGAAUUGACGGUACCCUGGGAAUAAGCAUCGGCUAACUCCGUGCCAGCAGCCGCGGUAAU
rnacentral:rRNA from 1 species